rnacentral:tRNA from 1 species
GCACCCGUAGCUCAGCUGGAUAGAGCACCAGACUACGAAUCUGGGGGUCAGGAGUUCGAAUCUCUUCGGUGCG